ensembl:lncRNA
GUAUCAGGCAGAAUUGAGAGCGAGUUCUAUAAAUUCCCCCUUGGAUUAAGAAAAGCAGUUGUGUGCGUUGUGUGGAGGUGUGUGUUUACCUGCGUCACACCCAGUGGGCCUCAUUCAGCACGACUUCUUCACAUUGGCAGAUUUGAUCGGAUUACAGGACUCAGGACUCAGGAAACUUCGCUCUGAAAUUUUGCAUUUAACCGUCGACGGCACCAGCAGCCGCCUCUCACUGCCUGCCAGGGAGCACACGUCUCGUACGGCCAACCAGCGAGUCCUUCUGCCGCUGUGAUCCGUGUACAGAGGGCAUCAUCUACCACACGCGUGCUCUUCGCCGUCAAGGUACUGAAGCACACGCAUACAAGAAUGCAGAAUUCGACAUUUCAAAAUCGAUUGCUGGCUUCAUCGGGAGAUGAGGGUCCGUGGCCUCAGGGCGGCAGGGAAACUCAUCAAGCUCAGCGAGACCACAGGCUGCUGCUGCUGCUGCUGCU